GCUGCAUGGUUGUCGUCAGCUCGUGCCGUGAGGUGUCGGGUUAAGUCCCAUAACGAGCGCAACCCCUAUCAUUAGUUGCCAUCAGGUCAAGCUGGGGACGUCUAAUGAAACUGCCUACGCAAGUAGUGAGGAAGGUGGGGAGUGACGUCAAAUCAGCACGGCCCUUACGUCCAGGGCUACACACGUGCUACAAUGGCCGGUACAAAGGGCAGCUACCUGGUGACAGGAUGCUAAUCUCAAAAGCCGGUCUCAGUUCGGAUCGGAGUCUGCAACCCGACUCCGUGAAGCUGGAUUCGCUAGUAAUCGCGCAUCAGCCAUGGCGCGGUGAAUACGUUCCCGGGCCUU
rnacentral:rRNA from 1 species